rfam:Lupinus angustifolius cultivar Tanjil contig_1779, whole genome shotgun sequence.
AGGUGUGAUCCUACCAGCACAAAUGCACAUGAUCUCAUCAGAACUCCGCAGAUAAGCGUGCUUUGGCGAGAGUACUACUAGGAUGGGUGACCUCUUGGGAAGUCCUUGUGUUGCACCUC